UUUGCCCCAUUUAAUUGUGAAACGUUGCCGUUCCAACACCUCCAUCCAAUCAGCGUGUCUAAAUAUUUUCUUUUCCAUUUAAUUUCCAAGCUGCUCGACCGUGUCGUGUAUGCUUGAUUUUCGAUUUUUUUUAAUUCUGCUUGCUGAGAAACGACGCCGCUUUGCCAUCGCCAACAUUUGUUGACCUCCGCCGUUGAUUAGUCUGCCGCCCCGCCGCCGCUCCACCCGAUGCACCUGUACCACAGCACCGCUUUUUACCUCCAAUAGUAUGCGUCGCCGUCCUCCUCGUCUCUAUCUUCAAUUUCUGGCCUUUCAAUUUCUGGGCUGUCAUAUAUGGGUUUUCUGCAUUUUCAGAACCAGCUUUCAUCUUUUCUCUUCGCAUUCAACCGGUUCCAAGAUUCAACCUUUUUCCGAUUCUUGGAUAACCCUUUGGUUACUAUCACAGGUUAGAACACUAAAUUUACUUAUUUUACUGAUUCUUUCAACUUUCUUUCAUUAAUUACUGGAAAACUCAUGUUAAAUCCUCGUUAUGGGUACUGAUUCUAAUUACGUAUCUAUCUUGUCUGUGCUUUUUUUCUUUUGUUUUCGUUUAGGGUUUUUGUAGUUCUGAUUCUAAUUUGGUGGGUCAGUUUCAGAUUUGCAAAUUGCGCCGUAAAAGGGGCUUCAAGACUGUGUUUAUUAGAGGAGGGU
rnacentral:lncRNA from 1 species